UUGACAUCGUGCGAACUUGGUAGAGAUACCUUGGUGCCUUCGGGAACGCACAGACAGGUGCUGCAUGGCUGUCGUCAGCUCGUGUUGUGAAAUGUUGGGUUAAGUCCCGUAACGAGCGCAACCCUUGUCCUUAUUGCCAGCGGGUAAUGCCGGGAACUCUAAGGAGACUGCCGGUGGACAAACCGGAGGAAGUGGGACGACGUCAAGUCAUCAUGGCCCUUACGGGUAGGGCUACACACGUGCUACAAUGGCCGGUACAAAGGGUUGCGAAGCCGCGAGGUGGAGCUAAUCCCGAAAAGCUGGUCUCAGUCCGGAUCGGAGUCUGCAACUCGACUCCGUGAAGUCGGAAUCGCUAGUAAUCGUGAAUCAGAAUGUCACGGUGAAUACGUUCCCGGGCCUU
rnacentral:rRNA from 1 species